rnacentral:rRNA from 1 species
AUUCCAGACUCCUACGGGAGGCAGCAGUGAGGGAUAUUGGUCAAUGGGGGGAACCCUGAACCAGCAACGCCGCGUGAGGGAAGACGGUUUUCGGAUUGUAAACCUCUGUCCUCUGUGAAGAUGAUGACGGUAGCAGAGGAGGAAGCUCCGGCUAACUACGUGCCAGCAGCCGCGGUAAUACGUAGGGAGCGAGCGUUGUCCGGAUUUACUGGGUGUAAAGGGUGCGUAGGCGGCUUUGCAAGUCAGAAGUGAAAUCUAUGGGCUUAACCCAUAAACUGCUUUUGAAACUGCAGGGCUUGAGUGAAGUAGAGGUAGGCGAAAUUCCCGGUGUAGCGGUGAAAUGCGUAGAGAUCGGGAGGAACACCAGUGGCGAAGGCGGCCUACUGAGCUUUAACUGA